rnacentral:tRNA from 1 species
GGGCUUAUAGCUCAGUUGGUUAGAGCACCUGACUCAUAAUCAGGGGGUCCAUGGUUCAAACCCGUGUGGGCCCA